UAGGGGUAUCCCUCAUCAAUUUUAAAAACUACUCAUGGGAUAUAAGGGACGGUGGGAGAAAAAUGACACUCAUUUCUAAUUUCAUAACCUGUCCGAUAGAUUGAUCUCGUGUAGGUGCAAUGGGCAGUAGGUACAAGGGGUGUGUGUGGUGAUUGUCUGUAAUUACACACAGAGGCACAUUAAGUCUGACAGAUACAUGGAGGCUGCUUGAUGAGGGUGCCCAUUUCAAUUAAGGACAUUAAAUGAGAAAACCUUAUAGAGUAGCUCCCUGCCAGACAUAAGCAGAAUUAAUACACUGCACAGGCUCAUUAACUAGCAUGUUAAUUGCACCCUAAUUAACCAUUUAGUUAUUUGAGUACCCUUUUAUCAUUUAGUCACAGUCAAAAGGAGAAGAAAUGGCAGGUAUGUCAUCACCUUGGUUACUAACCGUUGUAAUUCAUCCAUCAUGGGUCUUGGGUUGAAAGUAGAACAAAAUUCAUUUCCAUUGCCUCAACAAGACAAUGGACUGCAACGUCUCCACAUUGAAUGUGAAAUUAAAUGAACUGAUGAAAGAGUGCUUGUAGGCCUACUCCCAUAUUGAUGGUUGAUUGGUCAAAUAAUGAACCUGUCACUGUAAGCAGGUGAGAGAACUUGAUUAUGAAGAGGAACCAAAAUGGCCGCCAAGGUGUGAGCAUAGAGAGAAGAUUCAUCUUUGUAUCUGUGCCAUUAUGACAUCUAUGACAGUACAUUUUCUUCUUCUCGAUUGGCUGAUCCCUCCUGAUGUCCCGGUUAGACAUGACUCCAACAGGGUGCAACCUUUCUUCUAUGAAAAAAGAAAUCCCCAAUGUAUUUACAGGGACUGGCCAAGAAAAGAGAGACCACUGGCCAGUGUCAUUCUACUAUUUAUUACACAUAUUACAUUCUUAAAUACAAAUGAUUCACUCAACAGUUCUUGCAUAGAGAUAUUACAAUACCAAUUUAAAAAAGAAUUAUGAAACAAACCAGUAACAAAAAUAAAUCUUUCCUUUUUCCAUAAUAAAGAACAUUGUCAUACUAACAUCAUACAAAUAAUAAUUUUGAAAACACUUUGUACAGCAAAGAAAAGGAGUGAGAAAGAGAGUAUA
ensembl:lncRNA